rnacentral:tRNA from 1 species
GGGAGUGUGGCUUAGUGGUAGAGUGCUUGCCUAGCAUGCAUGAAGUCCUGGGUUCAAUUCCUCAGUACCCCA